UACGAAGGGUGCAAGCGUUACUCGGAAUUACUGGGCGUAAAGCGUGCGUAGGUGGUUUGUUAAGUCUGAUGUGAAAGCCCCGGGCUCAACCUGGGAAUUGCAUUGGAUACUGGCAGGCUAGAGUGCGGUAGAGGGUAGUGGAAUUCCCGGUGUAGCAGUGAAAUGCGUAGAGAUCGGGAGGAACACCAGUGGCGAAGGCGACUACCUGGACCAGCACUGACACUGAGGCACGGAAAGCGUGGGGAGCAAACAGG
rnacentral:rRNA from 1 species